rnacentral:sRNA from 1 species
GUUUAGCCCUGAUUGAAGCGGCAUCCUUUUUUGUUUUUCUCAAAAAAGAUAUAGUGAAAAGCAGGAAAUAGC